rnacentral:rRNA from 1 species
UACGUAGGGUGCAAGCGUUAUCCGGAAUUAUUGGGCGUAAAGAGCUCGUAGGCGGUUUGUCGCGUCUGCUGUGAAAACUGGAGGCUCAACCUCCAGCCUGCAGUGGGUACGGGCAAACUAGAGUGCGGUAGGGGAGAUUGGAAUUCCAGGUGGAGCGGUGAAAUGCGUAGAGAUCUGGAAGAACACCAAAGGCGAAGGCAGCGUCCUGGCAAGCAUCUGACGCUCAUGGGCGAAAGCUAGGGGAGCGAACGGG